AAUCUACCAUGGCCAAACUUGGAGGAUGUAUCAAUAAACUUGAGCUUAAUCUCCUCCAAAGCAACCCUAGAUGUCUGGUUCAACAAUGAUUGUCUCAAGGUCACAACUCUCUUCUUUGGUCCCACGCAGCAUCCUUUUAUCAUCAAAUAAUCUUCCUUCACCACACCAUAAUGGGGGAAUCCUCCCAUUGGAGUGAUAUCCUUUUCAGUCCUGUUAUUUGUGAAACAGAUUAGCCAAUUUCGAUGGGGCAAAUUUACAAUAACAACAAUAACCUCCUACGAAUUGCUAGAUCAAGACGAAUGAUAUUAAUAUAGGACAGUGAAAAAAAGGCAUUAAGAAUGUUAACCUGUCAUAUUCAGUAAUUGCAGUAUGAGAAUCUUGGCCACUCUUCCCAAGCUUGUAGAUUUUCUUGUUCAUCUCAGUACGGUGAUGGUAACCAUUCUGUCCAGCCCUAGCAACAGUAAAUGACACCCUAGCUGGAUGCCAAGCACCAAUACAUGCCACCUUCCUUAGACCACGAUGGGUCUUGCGGGGCAGGCGGGUCACACCCCAACGAGUAACCACACCUUCAUAUCCCUUACCCUUGGUUACACCAAUAAUAUCAAUCAUCUCAUCCUUUUGGAAAACAGCAUCAAUAGGUAUCUGCUUCUCAAAGAAACUGUAUGCAAAAUCAACCUUCUUGGCAACAUCCCCACCAUUUACUUGAAUCUCCAUCAGAUGGGCUUUCUUCUGCUUCAACCCUUUCAUCUUUCUUAUCUGCAGAGUCAAUAGUGCAGCAAAUGUGAAGAGUUAAAGAUUAAAGAAGAGCACAUACAAGUUGUACUCAGAAGACCAAAACUGUGAAUCUAUACAAGGAUCAGCAAUCCAGCAGUCUUAAGGUGCUACUAAAUUGAUGAGUAAUUAUAUCUCAUUAGCAGAACUGAAUACACAAGGGAAAAGUGAAAGUAAUUUACCUGGGUGUGCGCCAAGACUCGAAUGACCGAACAAUGCUUCUUCAGUUUCUCCAAUUGAGCUUGAAUAUCUUUCUUCCCAUCCUCAGAUUCAAACUUUUUAGAGUACUUGGUGAAUGCCUUCUUCUUCGACUUGCACCAGUUCUUGUAGAAUCUCCUCCUCACAUCCUCACUCAAAUGCUGGGCCCAGACAGUGUUCAGUGAACGGAGACCACGGGGUGUUUUCAUAUAACCCACAACCCCAACCACCACCAUAGGUGGUGUCUCUACGAUAGUAACAGCCUCACAUGUUUCUUUCUUGUGGAGCUUUGACCCUGGCUUUUCAACUUCUCUGACAAUGUGGGUCAUCCCUGCUUUGUAACCCAGAAAAGCAGUCAAUCUGCAAGGUUUUGUUGGAUCAUCUUUGGGGAACGCCUUCACUGUAAACAUCACAUAAAAGCGUUAAAAAAAAAUCAACAAUUGCACAACACUAACCAAUAUGCAAAUUGCAAAAAUAGUCAAUAUAAACAACUCACAAGUGAGUAAGAAAUCAACAUUAACAAAUAUUGAAAUAAUUUAAUUGCAAGGCACUGAAAAAAAUCAAUGCAAACACUAAAACUAAGGAAGCAACAUAGGAAGAUGACACUCUUUAUGAAAACAAAAAAAAUUCUUGUAUUAAAAUCUAGAACUGCUAGGAAAUGCGAAUAAUUCAUUUAUAAUAACAAACCAACUACCAAGGCUAGGCAUAGGCCAUCUAUCUACCCACAACUCAUGCAGCAUAGAAAAGAGGCCAUUAUUGAAAUAUCAAGGACCUAUUUACUUGUAGAAAACAGUUUUUCUUUUCAACCUUCGAAGAAUUAGAAGACUAUAGUUUUCUUUUUAUAAAGAAAACAAAGGAAAAGAUGGAAAGCAAGUUCAAUAGUGAAUGAUAGAAAAUAGUUAUGUAUUUUAAAAAUUUUUAAGAAUUAUUUGUAUCCAUUCGUAAUAAAAAAAAAAGUCAUGAUAAAUAUAUUUUAGAUCUAUUUUUUAAUUGUGUCAAUUGUUUUAUCUUAUAAUAAUAUAGUUAGUUCUCAUUACUGUAAAUAAAUGUUUUUUCCCAACUUAAUGAUGAAAAGUUAUAGAAUAAUUUGAGUCAUUAGAGGAGAACAGUUGAAAAUAGAACUUUUGUUAUAAAGAAAAAUAAUGAGGAAAAAACAUAAAGCUGAUUUCCAAAUCUUAGUCAAGUUUUGGAAAAUUGAAAAACAAAAUUUUCAAUUCUCAGAUUGGAAAAUUGAUACAUAUGCACACAAAACUUUAUUUUCCAAUUUACUUAGAACAUUAUUCCCAAAAAUUACUCCAGUUUUCUACAAGUAAGAAAGUACAAAAAGUCCUGAGAUUUUUCAUGCCAAGGAAGAAAUGACAUACAAACGGACAAACCAUACAUGAAUUUAUUUUAUCAAAAGCCCUAUUUUUACAUCCAAAAAACCGAAGACAACCUUAACUAUAGAGGAGUUAGCUAAUACUAAAAAACCACCAUAAUAUGAUCAAAACUAAACAAAAAGCAAUUUAGGCAACAUCAAUUACUGAUAAUGAAAACAAUCAAUGCAUGACUUCAAAAAAAUCAACCAAUGCACAUUAUGUAAGGCCAAAUAUAAAUUUAAAAAGCUUCAGCAAUAAUGAGAUUAAAACAAGAAUUAGAAACCUUUUCCUCUGUGGCGCGAGGCUCUCUUCCUUGGAAGAAAUCCCAAAGAACCAUGCCGGGGGUGUUCAAACUUGCGAUGAGACAUGCUUCAACUUCAGGGUACCACUGCAACACUAUGAAUUUCAAACUUAUUUUCCUUGAAAAAGGCAGAAAAUUCACAACAACAGAAAGCAACAAAUUUUCAAAUGAUAUUUGGUUAAUCUCAAAUGCUACUACUUAUCAAUCUGCGUGUGUAUAAAACCAGAGAAACACUAUUCUCUCCAAGUGAAAAGGAUUAAAGAGGUAUUAUCCCAUAAAGGAGCUGAAAAUUGAGAUAAAGUUUCUGGAUAAAAGCAUAAUGACUAAAACACAGAUACAAAUUAAUAGAAACAUUCAAGUUUCAAUUAAAAAUAAUAAACAUUCUCAAAAAGAAGGGUAAGUUUUAAUAUUUAACAAUUAAUUUAUUAAAAAAAUACACAAUUGACAAUUUCAUUGAAAUACUAUGUAGUCAGACAAAAGUUUCUUGUAUUUGGAUCAGAUAAGGAAAAGUAAAAUCGUAAAUAAUCAAGAGAAACCAUCACAUUAAUUAAACCUGAUUGGAAGCCUCAAAACGGUUCUUUAUUCAACUUUAAAAAUCACUUAANNNNNNNNNNNNNNNNNNNNNNNNNNNNNNNNNNNNNNNNNNNNNGCCAUCAAAAUGCUACAAAGCCAAAAGGUCAUACAAUUUCAUUACUCAAUAAUCACGAAUUUCUUUUCUAGAAAAAAUGAAAUUAUAUCAACCCUUGACCUCUAAGCAUUUGAUAUCAACACCAAACCUUAAUAAGUGAAAUGAAAUGCUUCCCAACCAAAGGCCUAUGGCAUAAAAAUUAUGCCAAAUCUCAAAGCUCAGUGGUAUUCCUUUUCAAAUACCAAUUCAUGGUAUCGGCAAAAAGAGCCAUUUCCGAGACUCCAGCCUUGAUUAUUUCAGCAAUUCUCUUAUAAAGGGAAGUCGUUUCAAAAUCACCACCACGCAAGGCGCAAUAUCAAAAUGUUUAUCAGGACAAGAGCAUUAAAAGAACCUUUAAAAAACCUCCAAAACAUCUAUUUACAAAAGAGUAAAACAAGCAGAACCCAACUCCUUCCAGAACCAAGUAGAGAUCUAAGCUAAUCAAAUAUUGAAUCAAAAAGCGCAAACCAUUAUGAAUAAAUGACAGAAAUUGUAAGGUAUUACCUCCCGAGGAGAUCACUGGACGUACUGUGUGCCGAUAAGAACCCUAGAAAGGUUUAGCUAGGCAUUUAUAUCGUUCUCGAGGUCAGAUCCAACGGCUGCAAUUAGCAUCCAAUGGGUAUUAUUGUCCGUUGGAUGGUUAGGGUUGGGGUUUUGCAAGAAGCGCCGCGGAUCCAGCAGCUAUGGAAAAUAGUAAAUGGGCUAAGAAUAUUCAAAGUUGGGCUGAUUUGUUUUUUGGUUAGUGACUUUUAAGUUAAGUUUGGGUUCUGAGCAAAUUUUAAAAUGGUAUUUAGAAAUUGAAAACGUAAAUCAUAAAAUACUAUUUAUUUUAAUUUUGAAUAAAAAUUAUCUAUCAAAUAUUAAAAUAAUUAGUAACUAUUAAAACAUGUAAUAUUACUAGACAUUAUUUUGAAAAUAAUUUUUUUUAUAACAAUUAUAUAACCUUCAUGUGUAUAGAUGUAAAUAAUUUUUAUCAAAAUAAGAAAUUAAAUUUAUGGGAUAAAUUAUAGUUAAUCAAACUUUAUAAUUUUUUAAUUUUGUUAUAUAUAUUUAUGGUGUCCAAUAAAAAAUGUUAAAUUUUUAUUAAUUAGACAAAUAAAAAAUGUAAGGAUCUUUCUUCUUUUCUCGAAUGUGAGUUCUAUCCUUCCUUUGCCUCUAAGAGUGAGACACAUUUUUUUAGCUACUUUUACUCGGUGAAUUUAAAAAUUAGAAAGAAAUUAUAUUUUUUCUAUAUGCAUAUUUGGAUCUUUGUUGGUUUUCUCCUAUAUUUGCUUGGGUGGUUCAUAAUGUUCUAUUUGGACACUUUAUUUUUAGAGGAAACUCUUUUCCUUUAGAGGAAACUCUUUUCCUUUAGAGGACAUAGCCCCUUCCUUCGGGGGAGUUAUGUUUUUUGUGCUCAAUUAUUAUUUUUUUGUAGUUCUUGGUCUAAAUACUCUAAAAUCUAUUAAUAAAAUUAUUUUUUUUAAAAAAUAAGUUUUACCCUCCUUUCAGAUUCAAGCUUACUCAAUCAUGGAAAUAGCCUCUCUCAUUUCCAUCGAAUUUAGGGUACUCUGAUGCUCGGAAUGGAGGUCGUUUAUCGCAUCAUCACUAGCUCAUCCUCUCCUGAAGACCUAAAACAAUCUAUAAAUUCAAGUGGGAUUUUUCUCGAUAACAAUUUGAUCGAUAAAGUUCUCAAAAGGUUCAGGUUUGGUCAUGGGAAACCCUUGCAAGCACUUGAGCUCUUUAAAUUCACUGCCAAUAGAAAAGGGUUUUAUCACACUCCGAAUUCGUUAGAUACCAUGCUUUAUAUAUGGGCAAAGUCGUCAAUUUGAUCAUAUUUGGGAUGUUUUGAUUAAAAUGAAGAGGAAAGACCCGUCUUUGAUUUCCUCACGAACUAUGCAAGUGGUUUUGGGUAGACUGUGGAAUCUUUUAGAAUGUUCAAGAAGUUGGUUCCUGUGUUUGAUACCAGUUCUUUCAAUGCACUGUUGAGACCCUGUGUUUUCUUUAACAAAGGAAUGAUGAUCCAACCAAUGCACACGCCCCUGGAAUACCGCAGGGCAUAGAGCUCCCUACUUUCUUCUAAUACAAAAGCUACUUCCGACUGGUUUGUUCUUGGAGAAGGAGCUGGUUUUGCUCCUCUUAGAAGAGCUAGAACAUGCUAAGGUAUACCAGCUUUAGGUCAGCUUUUUCUAUUUGUUUUCUUUGAGAGGGGUUUGUUUCCCUUAUGUAUGGUCAAAUGCUGAGAUAACAGAGAAGAGGAGCAAAGAUUUACCCAGAAUUCCUAGGUGGAAGCUUCACAAGGGUAGCCCAAGUAUUUCUGUAGGUUGAAUUUCACAAAUAUGAUGGGCUUUAUGAGUUUUUUAUUUAUUGUAUUCAGGCCUUGAAAAAAAAAAAUAAAUAUCUAACAAUGAACUUUAAAAACUCGCAUCUCAUCCAAAAAGGUUCAGUAAUAAUUAAAGCAGCAGAUGCAGUCACUAAGCAAACCAACAGCAUAAGCACACCUCAAAAGGUUCAAACACUAGGAGAAAAACAAAUUCUCAAACGUAAGAAGAAAAGUUUUGAUGUUCAUCCAUCCUCUCCCAUGCUUAACUAAACUCAAGCCUUAACACGCCCAUAGAACUUGGACUUCUCCUGUGUUGUCUGGAAUCUUCCAUGGCCAAACUUGGAGGAUGUAUCAAUGAACUUGAGCUUAAUCUCCUCCAAAGCAACCCUAGAUGUCUGGUUCAACAAUGAUUGUCUCAAGGUCACAACUCUCUUCUUUGGUCCCACGCAGCAUCCUUUUAUCAUCAAAUAAUCUUCCUUCACCACACCAUAAUGGGGGAAUCCUCCCAUUGGAGUGAUAUCCUUUUCAGUCCUGUUAUUUGUGAAACAGAUUAGCCAAUUUCGAUGGGGCAAAUUUACAAUAACAACAAUAACCUCCUACGAAUUGCUCGAUCAAGAAGAAUGAUAUUAAUAUAGGACAGUGAAAAAAAAGCAUUAAGAAUGUUAACCUGUCAUAUUCAGUAAUUGCAGUAUGAGACUCUUGGCCACUCUUCCCAAGCUUGUAGAUUUUCUUGUUCAUCUCAGUACGGUGAUGAUAACCAUUCUGUCCAGCCCUAGCAACAGUAAAUGACACCCUAGCUGGAUGCCAAGCACCAAUACAUGCCACCUUCCUUAGACCACGAUGGGUCUUGCGGGGCAGACGGGUCACACCCCAACGAGUAACCACACCUUCAUAUCCCUUACCCUUGGUUACACCAAUAAUAUCUAUCAUCUCAUCCUUUUGGAAAACAGCAUCAAUAGGGAUCUGCUUCUCAAAGAAACUGUAGGCAAAGUCGACCUUCUUGGCAAUAUCCCCACCAUUCACCUGAAUCUCCAUUAGAUGGGCUUUCUUCUGCUUCAACCCUUUCAUCUUUCUUAUCUGCAGAGUCAAUAGUGCAGCAAAUGUGAAGAGUUAAGGAUUAAAGAAGAGCACAUACAAGUUGUACAUGAAAGAACAGAAUCAUGAAUCUAUUGAGGAUCAGAAAUCCAGCAGAGCCUUAAAGUGCUACUAAAUUAUUGAGUGAUGAUAUCUCAUUCACAAAUACAGAAAUGAAUGCACAAGGGAAAAGUGGAAGUAAUUUACCUGGGUGUGCGCCAAGACCCGAAUGACGGAACAAUGCUUCUUCAGUUUCUCCAAUUGAGCUUGAAUAUCUUUCUUCCCAUCUUCAGAUUCAAACUUCUUAGAGUACUUGGUGAAUGCCUUCUUUUUGGACUUGCACCAGUUCUUGUAGAAUCUCCUCCUCACAUCCUCACUCAAAUGCUGGGCCCAGACAGUGUUCAGUGAACGGAGACCACGGGGUGUUUUCAUAUAACCCACAACCCCAACCACCACCAUGGGUGGUGUCUCUACGAUAGUAACAGCUUCACAUGUUUCUUUCUUGUGGAGCUUUGACCCUGGCUUUUCAACUUCUCUGACAAUGUGGGUCAUCCCUGCUUUGUAACCCAGAAAAGCAGUCAAUCUGCAAGGUUUUGUUGGAUCAUCUUUGGGGAAUGCCUUCACUGUAAACAUCACAGAAAAGCGUAAAAAAAAUCAACAAUUGCACAACACUAACCAAUAUGCAAAUUGCAAAAAUAGUCAAUAUAAACAACUCACAAGUGAGUAAUAAAUCAACAUUAACAAAUACUGACAUAAAUUUAAUUGCAAGGCACUGAAACAAAUCAAUGCAAACACUAAAACUAAGGAAGCAACAUAGUAAGAUGACACUCUUUAUGAAAACAAAAAAAUGCUUGUAUUAAAAUCUAGAACUGUUAGGAAGUGCGAAUAAUUCAUUUAUAAUAACAAACCAACUACCAAGGCUAGGCAUAGGCCAUCUAUCUACCCACAACUCAUGCAGUCAGAAAAGAGGUUAUUAUUGAAAUAUCAAGGACCUAUUUACUUGUAGAAAACAGUUUUUCUUUUCAACCUUCGAAGAAUUAGAAGACUGUAGUUUUCAUUUUAUAAAGAAAACAAAGGAAAAGAUGGAAAGCAAGUUCAAUUGUGUAUGACAGAAAAUAGUUUUGUAUCUUAAAAAUUUUUUAAAAAUUAUUUGUAUCCAUUCGUAAUAGAAAGAGUCAUGAUAAAUAUAUUUUACAUCUAUUUUUUUAAAUGUGUCAAUUGUUUUAUCUUAUAAUAAUAUAGUUAGUUUUCAUUACUGUAAAUAAAUGUUUUUUCCAAACUUAAUGAUUAAAAGUUAUAGAAUAAUUUUAGUCAUUAGAGGAAAACAGUUGAAAAUAGAACUUUUGUUAUAAAGAAAAAUAACGAGGAAAAAACAUAAAGCUGAUUUCCAAAUCUUAGUUAAGUUUAGAAAAUUGAAAAACAAAAUUUUCAAUUCUCAGAUUGGAAAAUUGAUACAUAUGCACACAAAACUUUAUUUUCCAAUUUACUUAGAACAUUAUUCCCAAAAAUUACUCCAGUUUUCUACAAGUGAGAAAGUACAAAAAGUCCUGAGAUUUUUCAUGCCAAGGAAGAAAUGACAUACAAAAGGACAAACUAUACAUGAAUUUCUUUAAUCAAAAGCCCUAUUUUUACAUCCAAAAAACAGAAGACAACAUUAACCAUAGAGUUCGCUAAUACUAAAAAAACACCAUAAUAUGAUCAAAACUAAACAAGAAGCAAUUUAGGCAACAUCGAUUACUGAUAAUGAAAACAAUCAAUGCAUGACUUCAAAAAAAUCAACGAAUGCAUAUUAUGUAAGGCCAAAUAUAAAUUUAAAAAGCUUCAGCAAUAAUGAGAUUAAAACAAGAAUUAGAAACCUUUUCCUCUGUGGCGCGAGGCUCUCUUCCUUGGAAGAAAUCCCAAAGAACCAUGCCGGGGGUGUUCAAACUUGCGAUGAGACAUGCUUCAACUUCAGGGUACAACUGCAACACUCUAUGAAUUUCAAACUUAUUUUCCUUGAAAAAGGCAGAAAAUUCACAACAACAGAAAGCAACAAAUUUUCAAAUGAUAUUUGGUUAAUCUCAAAUGCUACUGCUUAUCAAUCUGUGUGUAUAAAACCAGAGAAACACUAUUCUCUCCAAGUGAAAAGGAUUAAAACAGGUAUUAUCCCAUAAAGGAGCUGAAAAUUGAGAUAUAGUUUCUGGAUAAAAUCAUAAUGACUAAAACACAGAUACAAAUUAAGAGAAACAUUCAAGUCAAUUAAAAAUAAUAAACAUUCUCAAAAAGAAGGGUAAGUUUUAAUAUUUAACAAUUACUUUAUUAAAAAAUACACAAUUGACAAUUUCAUUGAAAUACUGUGUAGUCAGACAAAAGUUUCUUGUAUUUGGAUAAGAUAAGGAAAAGUAAAAUCGUAAAUAAUCAAGAGAAACCAUCAGAUUAAUUAAACCUGAUUGGAAACCUCAAAACGGUUCAUUAUUCAACUUUAAAAAUCAAUUAAAAAAAUUUUUGAAAAAAAAGACUCAGCCAUCAAAAUGCUACAAAACCAAAAGGUCAUACAAUUUCAUCACUCAAUAAUCACGAAUUUCUUUUCUAGAAAAAAUGAAAUUAUAUCAACCCUUGACCUCUAAGCAUUUGAUAUCAACACCAAACCUUAAUAAGUGAAAUGAAAUGCUUCCCAACCAAAGGCCUAUGGCAUAAAAAUUAUGCCAAAUCUCAAAGCUCAGUGGUAUUCCAUUUCAAAUACCAAUUCAUGGUAUCGGCAAAAAGAGCCAUUUCCGAGACCCCAGCCUUGAUUAUUUCAGCAAUUCUCUUAUAAAGGGAAGUCAUUUCAAAAUCACCACCAGGCAAGAUUAUCAGGACAAGAGCAUUAAAAGAACCUUUAAAAAACCUCCAAAACAUCUAUUUACAAAAGAGUAAAACAAGCAGAACCCAACUCCUUCCAGAACCAAGUAGAGAUCUAAGCUAAUCAAAUAUUGAAUCAAAAAAAGCAAACCAAGUAGAGAUCUAAGCUAGAAGUUUAAUUAUCAUGUAUGUUUAUGAAUCAAUGACAGGAAUUGUAAGGUAUUACCUCCCGAUGAGGAGAUCACUGGACGUACUGUGUGCCGAUAAGAACCCUAGAGAGGUUUAGCUAGACAUUUAUAUCGUUCUCGAGAUGAGAUCCAACGGCUGUAAUUAGCAUCCAAUGGGUAUUAUCGUUGGAUGGUUAGGGUUAGCGUUUUGCAAGAAGAGCCGCCGAUCCAGCAGCUAUGGAAACUAGUAAAUGGGCUAAGAAUAGAGAAAGCCGACUACAUCCAGUCCAAUAUUCAAAGGUGGGCUGAGUUGUUUUUUGGUUAGUAACUUUUAAGUUUGGGUUCUGAGAAAAUUUUAAAAUGGUAUUUAGAAAUUGAAAACGUAAAUCAUAAAAUACUAUUUUUUUUAAUUUUGAGUAAAAAUUAUCUAUCAAAUAUUAAAAUAAUUAGUAACUAUUAAAACAUGUAAUAUUACUAGACAUUAUUUUGUAAAUAAUUUUUUUAUAAAUGUAAAUAAUGUUAUCAAAAUAAGAAAUUAAAUUUAUGGGAUAAAUUAUAGUUAAUCAAACUUUACCAUUUUUCUAAUUUUGUUAUAUAUAAUUAUGGUGCCCAAUAAAAAAUGUUAAAUUUCUAUUAAUUAGACAAAUAAAUCUAACCGUGGUUUUAUUUUUUUUUUUUUUUAAAUAAAGAUUCUCUCUCCAAAUUCCUUUCUUAAGUUUUAACUUAAAUUCAUUUGCUGCCUCCUGUGCGGGUGAGCAGUAUUCGGUUCAAAUCGAAAAAAUUGAUCGAACCGAACUGAUUUAAAAUUUUAGUUCGGUUUUUUAUAUAUUUUGGUUCAGUUUGGUUUUUAAUUUUAGAAAUUUCGGUUAUUUCAAUUCGGUUCGAUUUUAAUUAAAAAAAAAUCGAAAAAACCGAAUCAAACCGAUUAGUAAUAAUAAUAUAUUUUUUCAAUAAUAUAGAGAAAUUAAAUCAUAUUAAAAUUAAAAUAUUUUAAUUAAAUUUUAAAAUAUUAAAAAUAAAAUGUAAAAAAUAAAAAAAUUAUUAAAAAUCGAAACUGAUCAAACCGAACCGAAUCGAACCGAAUCAUACCGGUUUGGUUCGAUUCGAUUUCUAAUCAAAAUCGGUUCGGUUCGAUUUUCAUAAAUACUAAAAUUUCGGUUUCGGUUUAUUCGAUUCGGUUCGAUUUUGAACCGAACUGACCGAAUGCUCACCCCUACUCCUGUGGUUUAUCAUAUCUCUGCAUGUAAGAGGAUCCUUCUACCCUUCCUUUGCCUCUAAGGGUAAGAGAGACCUCUUUUCUUUUUUGAAUAUAGUUUCUAUUUUCUCCCAUCCGAUUGGAUUGUAGAUAAUCCUUUUAACUAUUUUUACUCGGUUGUAUUUAAGCAUUCGAAAGAGAUCAUAUAUUUUUUAUAUGCAUAUUUGAAUCUUUGUGGGUUUUUCUCCUCUUUGCUUGUCUCUUUCAUAAUGUUCUAUUUGUAUACUUUAUUUUUAAAGUAAACUCCUUUACUUUAGAGGACAUGCCCCUUCUUUAGCAUGAAUUAUAUUUUUUGUGUCUAAUUGUUAUUUUUUUUGCGAUUGUUGGUCUAAAGAUUCUAAAUUACUCUUUGAUGAUUAUCAUUCGAUAGAGGGGGCAAGAAACAAAAUAAUAGUUGUAUCUAGCACAUGCUCGUAAACAGUUUAGAAAGCAGGAAUGAGAUGACAAAUAAUGAUACCACCUUUAUUCAUUGCCAACACAUAAUAGAUGUAGAGUUUCUAUAUGGUUCGGUACUCAAUGGUUUUCUCUUUAUCUUUCUUCGAAUAUUUUUUAUUUCUUUACUUUUUUUUAUUUUUCACAUUUAAAUUUAUCAAUAUCAACAUCUCAAUAAAUAGCUAGCUUAGUAUAGUUAGGGUUAUAUAAUUUUUUUUCAGUAGGAUAGGCUUGCUUGUAAUGGGAUUGUGUUUUACAUGUAUGAAAGAAUAAAUAUCAAAUACUUAAAUUUUUAAAAAAUUUAUUAAUUUAUUUAUAUUUUAAAAUUAUUCAAUUAAAAUAUCUUUAUAUUUUACAUAAUCAAACUCUUGUAAUUUUUAUGUUACUUUACAAGAUUUAUUUUAAAUUUGAUCAGAAAAAUUAAAUAGUAUGAAUAUUUCAAAUUAUAAAAAUUAAAUAAUACAUAUAAUUAAAAUUAUAAAAACCAACCAAAACAAUUAUUCCAGGUAGGUUGCUAAUGUUUUUUUUUUUUAACAGAAAAAAAAAUUUAUAUUUUACAAAAUAUAAAAAUAAUUUAAUGGAGUGAUUUGAAAAUAAAAACAAACUAGUUUAUUUAAUAAAAUUUCAGGGAUUACAUAAUAAUUUAGCCUAGAUGUAUUUGGGAUGGGUUUGGACCAAGCAAUAUUGUUUUUUCUUUUUAGUCAUAGCCUAUCUGAGGGCCCUCAACUAGAAAAUGAAAUUGCAUUAAUAAAAUUAAUUUGGUUGGACUCAAUUAAAUUUGAUAUAUUGGCUUGGAUUAAUUAUAAAUUCAGUUUCAGUUAUGUUUCUCAAUAUUAACUUUAAUUUGAAACUUAAUUACAAUUAAUUAAAAAGUUAAACUAUUCUAUUGGCUCCUUUCUAGAUUACCUCAGCUUGAUACGGUCUUUUGCCCAGAAAUGCAAGAAAUCUAGAAUGUUUACUUCUAGAUGAUGUGCAAGUCCAUUAGUUCUUUUGGGUCGGAUCUAGAGAAUCCAAUCAGGAUUAAUGUUUUCUGGGUGGAAUUUACAUUUGAGUUGUCUUUUACUGGAACCAAAUCAUUGUACUUUUAGGCCAUAGUUAAUGAUAUUUCAAUCCAAAAUUUGAUACUAAAUUCACAUUGAUUUCACACAUCUCAAAAACCAUAAAGAUGACCUUGACAUAAUACUUAUUAAUAAAUUCGAUUAUUAUAUGGGCAAUCUAUUAACAGAAAAUGGACAUUAAACUGAAAAGCAUCGAACAGAAGUAAUACAAAUACCAUAUGCAUUGCAUUUUGUGCUCAAGCAGACACUUGAAAGCUAAUGAUCUGGAUUAGGAAUACUAUUACUUCAUACAUGCUUCCAUUCAGUCAUCAAGCAAACUGGCUUUGUUAAUGGUACCUCAAAUCAUCAAUGUCAUGCCCUUUGAGAGCAAAAUGGAGCACUGAAAUCAAUGGCAUUCAGAUAUAUAAAUAGCAGUAAAUAAUUUAAUAAGGAAAGCUCCAAACAGGUUCAGUAAUAAUUGAAGCAACAAAACUACAGUCACCAACAAAAACCAACAGAGUAAUCCAACUCAAAAAUUUCAAACACUAGGAGAAAAAGUUGUGAUGUUUAUUUAUCCUCUCCCAUGCUUAGCUAAACUCAAGCCUUAACCCGCCCAUAGAACUUUGCCUUCUCCUGUGUUGUCUGGAAUCUACCAUGGCCAAACUUGGAGGAUGUAUCAAUGAACUUGAGCUUAAUCUCCUCCAAAGCAACCCUAGAUGUCUGGUUCAACAAUGAUUGUCUCAAGGUCACAACUCUCUUCUUUGGUCCCACGCAGCAUCCUUUUAUCAUCAAAUAAUCUUCCUUCACCACACCAUAGUGGGGGAACCCUCCCAUUGGUGUGAUAUCCUUUUCA
rnacentral:lncRNA from 1 species